AUUUUGGGGAUCUUUGGUCUCAAUUUUGAGAGAUUUGAGGUUAAUAGGGCUGCAUUAGCAGGUCACUUUGAUAUAGUGAAAUGUGAAUUUGAUAUUCCGUUAAUA
rnacentral:tRNA from 1 species